rnacentral:rRNA from 1 species
AUGUGUAUCACUUCACAGAUUAAGGAUGUAGCUACAAUCAUUAUUAGUCUUUUUGGUUAUCUUCCUUUAAAAAAAAAGCAGCUUAGAGACCUACUGGCUGCUCUGGAUCAAGAUUAUAAGCAGAUUUCGUAUAUUUGGACAACAGACAGAGAUUUUGUUUCAUAUAUGCAUAUGCCUUUAUUGUAUAAUUCAGUUCUGCCACCACAUUUUUACCACCUACAUGAAUUUCCCCUAUACCAGAUAUUAACGUUUGAAAUUAGUGACAUCUACUCAAAUAAAUAUCCACAGGUUGUGGCAUAG